CUUUUAUCAAGACAUGUUUGUCGGCUUGGAGUCGCAUUCGUGUGUGGCUCAACCGCGCGCCAAUUGGCCGGCCAGGACAGUUGGCUGACAGUCGGUCAACGGGUCGUAAGCAAGCACGGCGCGUGGGACGCGAGGUCCCCACCACGUCGGCACACCACCGUCACCGCUGAUGGUACCAAAGAGACCUCCCGCGGCGUUGGCGUUCGGAGAAAGCGCUAGCACGCUGCGGUAGCCCUCGACCAUGUCAUCCAAGAUAGUGACAUCGUUCAUCCCGUCCAAUGCUCCGUGCACAUCUCGCUCGUGCCACCUACAUUCCAAGGCUGCGCACGCUGCCCAUAUAUGGGCACGGUCGAGAGGUGCGACCCGUGCUCGGUAGAUAAGCGAUGCCACUGCAACGCGUCCCCGAUCCAAGGCGAUCGACGCUGAUUCGCGCCGAAAAAUUAUGUGCGCCUCGGGCAGGCGCAGCAAACGCUCUACCGUGUCCAUGUCGGCGCUCACGGCGGCCGCGCCGCCGAGCCACGGGCCGCACCAUACCUCGCGAUCCACUGCGUGCAGAAUCCAUUUGAUCGCCUGGCGAGCGUGCGACGUCACCGCUGCAACGACGACGCGCUUGGUGCACCUGCCCAAGUCAUACUUUUGGGCCGCGGCCAGGCACAAAACAAAAUUGCCCGACGCUGCUUCAACCAUCGCCUCUUCCGAAGAAGUUGGACGCAGGGCACGCGCCUUGCGGCCCACCCGCUGGCCAAUCCAUUUGAGGGUGCGCCACGAGCCGCUACGCAACGCCUGCUCGACUGACGGGGUCACGGGUCCAAGGGCGCCGCUGCAUUUUACGCGGUUGAGCCAGUCGAGCACAUGCGCGUGGUCGCCUUGAAGCGCCGCCGCGCCAAGGCGUCCAGUACAGCGGCACCGGCCACGAUCGUGAAGCACAGCCAGUGCACGGCAGUGACCAAAACGCGCAGCCCGCACCAUCAUGGCGCGUACGAUGCGGUUCGUCGCCGCCCGCGACGCCAAUUGCGGAGCGUAACGUAGGAGGCACGACACAAUGUCGUGACGAUCGGUGUCAACGGCGCGUUUGAGCGCGCCUCCAUCCCCAGGCCGCACGCACGCACCGUUCGCGUCGCUCUUUCCUCUGCCUCUCGUGCUCGGCCUUUGUGCGCCACGCAACGUGCCACGGACAAUCGGACGAGCACGAGAGAUCGCAAUGGUCGUCGUUUGCACUCUGUGCGCCAUCGUCGCUCCCGGUCCACGUCUCGCCACUCGACUCGGACACAUCAUUUGAGUCAUUGGAGAGGAACUCUCUUUGGGGCGCCGCGUUGCGUUCGCCUCGCGCAGGCAAAGUGUCGGCGCGUGCCGGCGUGGUCUCACAGGCCCACCUCACCACGUCGAGCCUGCCGCCGCGGACAGCGUCGGCCAGCAAGCUGUCCAUGUCUACCGGUGACCAUAUCUCUGUCAGUGGUCCCACCACGUGCAGGGGGGCACCAGCAGCAGCAAUGUGGUGUAUGGCACUUGGGCGACAGCGGGAUGCGAUCUCAAUGCACAUGGGCUCGACGAGAGCACCAGGCCAUGCCGUGGCGAGCGCGCCAAGAUCAGAUAGCUUAUCGAUCUGAGAUAGUAUCAUCGCACGCAAUUCGGGCGAAAGCGCAGUCAGGCGGCAUUCGGGCUCUUGCGUGCAGGUUGUCUAUGGAGACCUGUGUGCGCUUGCGGCACUAACCAAAGAGAUAUGGGAAGAAAAAGGAGGGGGGCGCUUUCAGAGGUCGCGCCGUCAACGAGAAUGCGCAGACGCUUUUUUUCCUACUGCCGCAAGUUUGGCUCAUGGACCCAAAAGGCUAUCGGCGGCGCGCAGACGGCCUUUUGUCAAAGGGACGAUUUUUCGCCGCACCGCCGCGACAUAAAUCUUUGAUUUGAA
rnacentral:lncRNA from 1 species